rnacentral:rRNA from 1 species
GACGAACGCUGGCGGCGUGCUUAACACAUGCAAGUCGAACGGAAAGGCCCUGCUUUUGUGGGGUGCUCGAGUGGCGAACGGGUGAGUAACACGUGAGUAACCUGCCCUUGACUUUGUGAUAACUUCAGGAAACUGGGGCUAAUACCGGAUAGGAGCUCCUGCUGCAUGGUGGGGGUUGGAAAGUUUCGGCGGUUGGGGAUGGACUCGCGGCUUAUCAGCUUGUUGGUGGGGUAGUGGCUUACCAAGGCUUUGACGGGUAGCCGGCCUGAGAGGGUGACCGGCCACAUUGGGACUGAGAUACGGCCCAGACUCCUACGGGAGGCAGCAAUGGGGAAUAUUGCACAAUGGGCGGAAGCCUGAUGCAGCAACGCCGCGUGCGGGAUGACGGCCUUCGGGUUGUAAACCGCUUUCGCCUGUGACGAAGCGUGAGUGACGGUAAUGGGUAAAGAAGCACCGGCUAACUACGUG